GACGAACGCUGGCGGCGUGCUUAACACAUGCAAGUCGAACGGUAAGGCCCUUCGGGGUACACGAGUGGCGAAGGGGUGAGUAAAGCAUGGGUGAUCUGCCCUGCACUUCGGGAGAAGCCAGGGAAACUAGGUCUAAUACCGGACAGGACGACUGCCUGCAUGGGCGGUGGUGGAAAGCUUUGGCUGUGUGGGAUGGGCCCGCGGCCUAUCAGCUUGUGGGUGGGGGGAUGGCCUAACAAGGCGACGACGGGUAGCCGGCGUGAGAGGGUGACCGGCCACACUGGGACUGAGAUAAGGCCCAGCCUCCUACGGGAGGCAGCAGUGGGGAAUAUUGCACAAUGGGCGCAAGACUGAUGCAGCGACGCCGCGUGAGGGAUGACGGCCUUCGGGUUGUAAACCUCUUUCAGCACCGACGAAGCGCAAGUGACGGUAGGUGCAGAAGAAGGACCGGCCAACUACGUGCCAGCCGCCGCCGUAA
rnacentral:rRNA from 1 species